rnacentral:rRNA from 1 species
CUACGGGGGGCACCAGUGGGGAAUAUUGCACAAUGGGCGCAAGCCUGAUGCAGCCAUGCCGCGUGUAUGAAGAAGGCCUUCGGGUUGUAAAGUACUUUCAGCGGGGAGGAAGGGAGUAAAGUUAAUACCUUUGCUCAUUGACGUUACCCGCAGAAGAAGCACCGGCUAACUCCGUGCCAGCAGCCGCGGUAAUACGGAGGGUGCAAGCGUUAAUCGGAAUUACUGGGCGUAAAGCGCACGCAGGCGGUUUGUUAAGUCAGAUGUGAAAUCCCCGGGCUCAACCUGGGAACUGCAUCUGAUACUGGCAAGCUUGAGGCUCGUAGAGGGGGGUAGAAUUCCAGGUGUAGCGGGGAAAUGCGUAGAGAUCUGGAGGAAUACCGGUGGCGAAGGCGGCCCCCUGGACGAAGACUGACGCUCAGGUGCGAAAGCGUGGGGAGCAAACAGGAUUAGAUACCCCCGUAGUC